CGCAAGCCUGACGGAGCCAGACCGCGUGAGGGAAGAAAGCCUUUGGGUUGUAAACCUCUUUUCUCAGGGAAGAAACCUGACGGUACCUGAGGAAUCAGCAUCGGCUAACUCCGUGCCAGCAGCCGCGGUAAGACGGAGGAUGCAAGCGUUAUCCGGAAUUAUUGGGCGUAAAGCGUCCGCAGGUGGCUGUUCAAGUCUGCUGUCAAAGACAGAAGCUUAACUUCUGAAAGGCAGUGGAAACUGGAGAGCUAGAGUACGGUAGGGGUUGAGGGAAUUCCCAGUGUAGCGGUGAAAUGCGUAGAUAUUGGGAAGAACACCAGUGGCGAAGGCGCUCAACUGGGCCGUAACUGACACUCAGGGACGAAAGCUAGGGGAGCG
rnacentral:rRNA from 1 species